UUACGCCCACAUCACGUUGAAACACCGGUCCCUGUAGGAUCACCGAAGUUAAGCAACGUUGAGUCUCGUCAGUAUCAAGAUGGGUGGCCGCUAUGGAAUACCAGGUGCUGUAAG